GGGGGCGAUCGGCUUCGACGUGGGGACUGAUCGGUGAUCUGCGUGUGAUGGCGCCCGCCCCAUCUCUAAGCGGGCCGUUACUAAUUGCGAACGACAACGCGAUCGCUCUCGCGGCCUAAAGAACCGCAGAGCCGUCCGAGGGUGAGAUUGUCUUGGUAACCCAAGGGCGUCAGCACGAAGGCUGGGUACCCCGAGAGCGCUCUCGAUAGGGGUACUGAGAUCAGUGAGGGCUAGGUCGUGACCGAACUCACGAACCGUGUCUCAGCGGUACUGAGGCUACGCACGUGAACGAAGGUCAUCAGGAUGCCUCGCGGACCCGGGUUCGAUUCCCGGCGCCUCCACCC
rnacentral:tmRNA from 1 species